GGCCGCCUGGCGAAAUGGCAUCGCGUCUGACUACGAUGGGUCAUUUGUGCAAGAGUCGGAAUCAGGAGAUUGCAGGUUCGACCCCUGCGGUGGUCA